rnacentral:rRNA from 1 species
CCUACGGGUGGCUGCAGUGGGGAAUUUUGGACAAUGGGGGCAACCCUGAUCCAGCCAUGCCGCGUGCGGGAAGAAGGCCUUCGGGUUGUAAACCGCUUUUGUCGGGGAAGAAAUCCUCUGGGCUAAUACCUCGGGGGCAUGACGGUACCCGGAGAAUAAGCACCGGCUAACUACGUGCCAGCAGCCGCGGUAAUACGUAGGGUGCAAGCGUUAAUCGAGGUUACUGGGCGUAAAGCGUGAGCAGGCGUGUGAAAGCCCCGGGCUCAACCUGGGAACUGCAUUUGUGACGGGAAGGCUGGAGUGCGGCAGAGGGGGAUGGAAUUCCGCGUGUAGCAGUGAAAUGCGUAGAGAUGCGGAGGAACACCGAUGGCGAAGGCAAUCCCCUGGGCCUGCACUGACGCUCAUGCACGAAAGCGUGGGGAGCAAACAGGAUUAGAUACCCGGGUAGUC